rnacentral:rRNA from 1 species
AUUGAACGCUGGCGGCAGGCCUAACACAUGCAAGUCGAGCGGAUGAGGAAAGCUUGCUUUUCGAUUCAGCGGCGGACGGGUGAGUAAUGCCUAGGAAUCUGCCUGUUAGUGGGGGAUAACACGGGGAAACUCGGGCUAAUACCGCAUACGUCCUACGGGAGAAAGUGGGGGAUCUUCGGACCUCACGCUAACAGAUGAGCCUAGGUCGGAUUAGCUAGUAGGUGAGGUAAUGGCUCACCUAGGCGACGAUCCGUAACUGGUCUGAGAGGAUGAUCAGGCACACUGGAACUGGGACACGGUCCAGACUCCUACGGGAGGCAGCAGUGGGGAAUAUUGGACAAUGGGCGAAAGCCUGAUCCAGCCAUGCCGCGUGUGUGAAGAAGGUCUUCGGAUUGUAAAGCACUUUAAGUUGGGAGGAAGGGUAUUCACCUAAUACGUGGGUACUUUGACGUUACCAACAGAAUAAGCACCGGCUAACUCUGUGCCAGCAGCCGCGGUAACAC